rnacentral:rRNA from 1 species
CACGUAGGGUGCAAGCGUUGUCCGGAAUCAUUGGGCGUAAAGAGCUCGUAGGCGGCUUAGUAAGUCGGGUGUGAAACCUCCAGGCUCAACCUGGAGACGCCACCCGAUACUGCUAUAGCUAGAGUCCAGUAGGGGAGUGCGGAAUUCCCGGUGUAGCGGUGAAAUGCGCAGAUAUCGGGAGGAACACCAGCGGCGAAGGCGGCACUCUGGGCUGGAACUGACGCUCAGGAGCGAAAGCGUGGGUAGCGAACAGGAUUAGAAACCCCCGUAGUCC